UCUGGUUGAUCCUGCCAGAGGUCACUGCUAUCGGGGUUCGAUUAAGCCAUGCGAGUCGAGAGGGUUCGGCCCUCGGCGUACUGCUCAGUAACACGUGGAUAACCUGCCCUAGGGAAGGGGAUAACCCCGGGAAACUGGGGAUAAUACCCUAUAGAUUACAGAUGCUGGAAUGCCCUGUAAUCCAAAGUUCCGACGCCCUAGGAUGGAUCUGCGGCCGAUUAGGUUGUUGUUGGGGUAAUGGCCCAACAAGCCCGUAAUCGGUACGGGUUGUGGGAGCAAGAGCCCGGAGUUGGAUUCUGAGACACGAAUCCAGGCCCUACGGGGCGCAGCAGGCGCGAAAACUUUACAAUGCGGGCAACCGUGAUAAGGGAACCUCGAGUGCCUGUAAAUGCAGGCUGUUCAGGUGCCUAAAACACAUCUGGAGAAAGGGCCGGGCAAGACCGGUGCCAGCCGCCGCGGUAAUACCGGCGGCUCGAGUGGUGGCCGCUUUUAUUGGGCUUAAAGCGUUCGUAGCUGGGUUGUUAAGUCUCUUGGGAAAUCUGGCGGCUUAACCGUCAGGCGUCUAAGGGAUACUGGCAAUCUUGGAACCGGGAGAGGUGAGGGGUACUUCGGGGGUAGGAGUGAAAUCCUGUAAUCCUCGAGGGACCACCUGUGGCGAAGGCGCCUCACCAGAACGGCUUCGACAGUGAGGGACGAAAGCUGGGGGAGCAAACCGGAUUAGAUACCCGGGUAGUCCCAGCCGUAAACUAUGCGCGUUAGGUGUAUCGGUGACCACGAGUUACCGAGGUGCCGAAGGGAAACCGUGAAACGUGCCGCCUGGGAAGUACGGUCGCAAGGCUGAAACUUAAAGGAAUUGGCGGGGGAGCACAACAACGGGUGGAGCCUGCGGUUUAAUUGGACUCAACGCCGGACAACUCACCGGGAACGACAGCAAUAUGUAGGCCAGGCUGAAGACCUUGCCUGAAUCGCUGAGAGGAGGUGCAUGGCCGUCGCCAGUUCGUACUGUGAAGCAUCCUGUUAAGUCAGGCAACGAGCGAGACCC
rnacentral:rRNA from 1 species